CACAAAAUCAUGACUUCCGAGGCGUACGGACAUCUUCGGAGGUAUAUUCCAGGUGAUCUUGCGGAUUGGCCUGUUAGAAGAGGCCAGGGAGUUCCAAACUGCAACACAAGUGAUAGCUCAGGUUUGUGGGUUAUCUCCUGGCUCAACUCGGAUGGGAAGUUUAAUGCUUCAAACAUCAGCGGGGUGCUUGAAGAUUCGAACAUAUGAGGGUUGACUGCGAUAUCUCUUGUUGGAGGCCCUUUCAACACCAUGGCCAGCACCGUGAGGAUCAGGGCUAGACAAUGGCAAAGGCGUUCCAUGGUCCAAAGCUGCAACAAAGAAAUAGUUCAAUGGGGACACAUCAGUAGGGAUCAUGGUGAAGUAGGUCCUAGGUCUCAUGAUAGCCUAUAAGCUCAUGAGAGAAAUAAGGUUGUCAGGGUCUGUACAUGUCCUUGUCAACAGUUAUUUUGUUUUGUUCUUGAACAUUAAAUUUCCUUUGUCUAGAUAGUUUAUGCCUUUGCAUGAAUUGUCCCCUGGUUAUGAAUUUAACAUCUAUGUUAUCCUGUGUGUGGUUCAC